AACGUAGGAGACAAACGUUAUCCGGAGUUACUGGGCGUAAAGAGCUCGUAGGCGGCUUGUUGCGUCAGCUGUGAAAACCCGCAGCUCAACUGUGGGCUUGCAGCUGAUACGGGCAGGCUUGAGUUCGGUAGGGGAGACUGGAAUUCCUGGUGUAGCGGUGAAAUGCGUAGAUAUCCGGAGGAACACCGGUGGCGAAGGCGGCUUCCUGGACCGACACUGACGCUGAGGCGCGAAAGCUAGGGGGAGCAAACGGG
rnacentral:rRNA from 1 species